CCCGGCGUCUUCAUGGAGCCGCGGGUGGGUCCUGGGCGGGUCUCACUGCGGUGAGCUUGGGCCAGGCCCCGCACGGCUCGGGCUUUCCCAUUGCAAAUCCGCUGACGUAGGGUCAACGCAAAGGAGACCGAGCUGGAAAUUUGAGUGCCCGUCUGUGGAGAGGAUUCGCCUGCAAGAGCGAGGGGCGGCUCUGCUGGACCCGAAAAGAUGUAGAAAUCGCACGAGAAGCAGGAGAGGAAGCAGCACAAAAAUGUGUUCAGGGGCUGGAGUUGUGGGCUUAGCCGGUACCGCCGCCGCCUGCGACGCAGGCACAGCUUAGGCGCCUCCGGAUGGAUUCGGUCCCGGCUGCUCCUCUUCUGAUCCAGCUCCCUGCUAAUGGCCUGGGGAAGCAGCGGAAGAUGGCCCAAGUGUUUGGGCCCCUGCACCAACGUGAGAGCUGGAUGGAGCUCCUAACUCCAGCCGUUGUCGCCAUUUGGGGAGUGAACCAGCUGAUGGAAGAUCUGUCUCUCUCCCUCCCUGUAACUCUGACUUUCAAAUAAGCCUUAAAAAAUUAAUUUUUUAAAAAAGUAUAUGUACAUUCGUUUUUUAUGACCAGAAAGGACUGUAUUGAUGCAAUCACAGCUCACAGCCAGGCCGCCUGGACAUUCGGGAGGUAUUGUGGAAGCUGGGACACCGUGUUCGCUCCUGCCCCCCAAAUCCCAGACGGUUCACCACGGAGUCUCCCCACGCUCCCGGCAUUGACCAAUUCAUGGGUUCCCAUGAUUAAACUCAAUGCAGACUGGGGGAUUGUAAACCUGCUUGAAGUGGGCUACUUUAUGACCAGAUUCUGAAACUGUUCUAUUGACUUUUAUAAAUGUACAUUAAGGCAAAAUUAGUUACUGCCAACAUCAACGGUUAUAUCCCAUCUGCUGAAAACCUUCAAAAAGAAAUUGCAAAGACAAGGAGUGAUAACCAUAACAGAAUCUCUAAAUGGAACUAUAAGAUGUGAGAUUCAAAAACAGAUGAGAAGAAAAAGGCACUGGUCUCCAGAAACAAGAGUUUCAAAUCACUUGGCAUUGGAUCCAGAGGGCAAAGGUCAACUGCACCUCAAAUCUACAAUCAAUUAUUCAGUUAUAUAAGGUGGAUAUAAUUUUGAUGAGUAGAAAAUGUUUAGGAAAAUAAAAGCCAUUAAUUUUGGAGGACAGCUUUUUGAGGAGGAGGGACUGAUAUUCUGUUUUUGUGGCUAUGUUGCUUCAACUAAAAAUAGAUAUCUGACCAUAACAAGAACAACUCUUCUCACUGGCAAAUAAUAGAACCAUAGAGAAUUUCAGUUAUGAGAAAUUACUGUAAUGCCAAAGGCAGGAAAGAAUUCAUCAUGUUGGGG